CUACAAAUAUGAUGUAUCACACAAGAGCUAAAAGGGAAAGAAAAACAAAGUAGCUACAAAUUCACAGCCAAGAUGUCUACAUGCAAAGGAAAGAGUUCGUGGCCUGAGUUAGUGGGUAAGUUGGGAAAAGAUGCAGAGAAAAUUAUCGAGAAAGAGAACCCUUUGGUUGAUGCUAUCAUUGUUGAUGAAGGCUCAAAUGUCACUUUUGACUUCAGGUGUGAUAGGGUUUGGAUCUGGGUUAGUCAGAAAACCAACAUGGUUACCAGGACUCCUAUUAUUGGUUAAUCCUUCGCAACCAAAUUCUUGGACUCCAACUCUCAUAUAAAGUUCUUGUUUUGUUAUGUUUCAACAAGUAAACACAUGUUUUACCGACAAUAUGAAUUUAUGAAUAUGAUGUUUGUAUUUUGUUUUAUGACGACAUUUAUGUAUUAAUGUUAUUGUGUUUGUUGUACCCAAAAUAUUUGAUAUGUAAUCUUAUGAAGUAAACAAGUAAGUGAAUUAAGACUUACCAUUUACCGUGGUAAGGAAAAUCAAGAAAAGUA